CGCGGGGUGGAGCAGCUUGGUAGCUCGUCGGGCUCAUAACCCGAAGGCCGUCGGUUCAAAUCCGGCUCCCGCAA
rnacentral:tRNA from 1 species